CCUAACCGUACCUAUAUACAUAUAAAAAUAUUAUAAUAAUAUAUUAUCCAUGUUUGAAUUCAUUAGAACAAUGGCGUAUCAGACGUCGCUCCCAAACCGGUCGACAUCCAUCUGCAUAACUCAUUCCGCAAGAAUGAGCGGUAUAGUUUGAAAACUUACCAAAGUUAUCUGGUGGAUGUCGAUACGUUGGUGAGCAGCCGUCGCACAUAGGUCUGAUGUACCUAUGGAAAGUUAUUAUUGGAUCGGUCAUAAUAGGUUGAGGUGUAACAGCAUUUUCGGGACUAUUGUAAUCCCCACUUCCAGGACUUUAUCAUACAUACAGCCGACAGCCCGAUGACCUACAUUUUUGUGUAUACCCUAUGAUGGCCGCGAAGUAACGAUCACGUCACCGUUUAUCAGAUUGCCCAGUUUGAAAGAGUCUCCAACAAUUUCAUCGGAUAGGUACGCCAUAAACCGUGGCAUAGCGUUGGGCCAGCAUAAUUUUGUCCGGAUCAAUAUCUACAAAAAUGACGUCCCAAUUAUUAGAAGCUAAUAAUAUAGUGUCUUUGUCGAACAGUCAGCUGUACGAAGUUUCCGCUGUGCCACAAAACGGGUCGACGCCGGUCGCUGAACAUGGGAAGUCCUCAAGUCCUCCCAGCAUCGUAUUGAUGAAUCAACAAUAUAUCUUACAUCUUACAUCUAUCAUUGCAAUCUUAUAAUUAUUCACCUGAAUGCAUGUAAUCCUGAAUGUACAGUUAAUUUAUUACUACCCAUCUACAAAAUCAACACUGUAUUAAUAAACGAUUCUGAGCGAAAACGGUCG